CUGUCAUCACCAAUUGUUAUGCUAUUACUUAUAACUUUAAAGGUAUUUCCUCUUUCAAAUUGUUGGGAUAUGCUUGUAAAACUCUCUCAGUGUUAAUAAAUGGAAGUUUUGGUUUCUCUAACCAUAGUCUCUGAAUCUCUGGAGCUGUUGCCUCAUUACCUGUCCUUAUCCACAAUGUACCAUCAUUCACCGUUAAGGCCUAACGCCUUUCGUUUUCGUUCGUCGGUCUCGAGUGUUUCACAUGUAUAUAUAUUUUUUAAUUUGUGUAUAAAUUGUAUAAUGUUCAAGAACAAAACUAAGCAUUUAUACUAUAAUUGGAGAUAAUAUUUCUAGUUCUUUUGAAAUGGAAUCCACUUUAUAACAUCUCUACUUGAUUUUUCAUACACAUUUUCAAGAACACAUUGUAUAUGAAAGUAGAGGAGAAUUUGUA
rnacentral:lncRNA from 1 species